GGGAAGAUCUCUUCCUGGACCGAAGGGUGACGAGGGACGGCAGGGACCUGAAGGCGAUCCUGGACCGUUUGAGUUUGUGACCCUGCCAGAAGGAAUCUACCCACCAGGACCCAAGGGGGAUCAAGGUGCCAAAGGUCAAUGUGGACCCCCCGGUGUCAAUGGAAGAGACUCCCUGCCAGGAGAAAAGGGAGCAAAAGGAGUCGUUGGCUUUCAAGGUCCUCGGGGUUUACCUGGUCAUCCUGGUUUGCCUGGUAUUCCUGGAAUAAAG